UACUAAAAACACAGGUCCGUGCGAAGUCGUAAGACGCUGUAUACGGACUGACGCCUGCCCGGUGCUGGAAGGUUAAGAGGACCGGUUAGAGCUCUUCGGAGUUCGAAGCUGAGAAUUUAAGCCCCAGUAAACGGCGGUGGUAACUAUAACCAUCCUAAGGUAGCGAAAUUCCUUGUCGGGUAAGUUCCGACCUGCACGAAUGGCGUAACGACUUCUCCACUGUCUCAACCGCGAACUCGGCGAAAUUGCAUUACGAGUAAAGAUGCUCGUUACGCGCAGCAGGACGGAAAGACCCCGGGACCUUUACUAUAGUUUGAUAUUGGUGUUCGGGACGGCUUGUGUAGGAUAGGUGGGAGACUGGGAAGCAUUCACGCCAGUGAGUGUGGAGUCGUCGUUGAAAUACCACUCUGGUCGUUCUGGAUUCCUAACCUCGGUCCGUGAUCCGGAUCAGGGACAGUGUCUGGUGGGUAGUUUAACUGGGGCGGUUGCCUCCUAAAGAGUAACGGAGGCGCUCAAAGGUUCCCUCAGCCUGGUUGGCAAUCAGGUGUUGAGUGUAAGUGCACAAGGGAGCUUGACUGCGAGACAGACAUGUCGGGCAGGUGCGAAAGCAGGAACUAGUGAUCCGGCACCUCAUUGUGGAAUGGGUGUCGCUCAACGGAUAAAAGGUACCCCGGGGAUAACAGGCUGAUCUUGCCCAAGAGCUCAUAUCGACGGCAUGGUUUGGCACCUCGAUGUCGGCUCGUCGCAUCCUGGGGCUGGAGUUGGUCCCAAGGGUUAGGCUGUUCGCCUAUUAAAGCGGUACGCGAGCUGGGUUUAGAACGUCGUGAGACAGUUCGGUCCCUAUCCGCUGCGCGCGUUGGAUAUUUGAGAAGUCCUGUCCCUAGUACGAGAGGACCGGGAUGGACUGACCUCUGGUGUGCCAGUUGUUCUGCCAAGGGCAUGGCUGGUUGGCUACGUCGGGAAGGGAUAACCGCUGAAAGCAUCUAAGCGGGAAGCCUGCUUCGAGAUGAGAUAUCCUUGCACCCUUGAGGUGUGUGAGGCCCCCAGUAGAUGACUGGGUUGAUAGCCAGAUGUGGAAGCACAGUAAUGUGUGGAGCUGACUGGUACUAAUGGCCGAUGACUUACAACAACAUUCU
rnacentral:rRNA from 1 species